CAGCAUCUCAUUGUCAUCAAGAAUAAAAGACUCUUGGGGUGCCUGGGUGGCUCAGUCAGAUAGGUCUAAAUAUAACAACAUUCUGGGAAAUUUUGCCUCAGCCCUGUCCUCUGAGAUCAUUAGCAAGAAGUGUGUUCACCAUGAUUCCAGUUCAGCAAAGAAGGCUCAUCAGAAGAAGGAAGCACACCCCCCAGGUGAGACUCCAUCUCAGAGAGAAGACACCCAAGGUUUGGAGGGCAGCAUAUCCAGUCCGCUCCACGUUACCCUUUUCUUUAAGAUGACGAAACAGACGCAUGGACGGGUUAUAUGACGUGGUCCAAAUUAUACAAGCAAAAGUGGUGUUCCCAAUUCAUUGGAUCCCUGAGCCUGGGUUCUGAGAUCUUAUACCAUCAGGCCAUCAGCUGAUGGCCAUCAGCUUCGCAUCACAGCCACCAGCUUCAUGACCCAGCUCCUCUCCAAACUCCAGAUUUCUCAUCUGUUAGGUGAUUCUCGCUCAUGCCUUUCUGAGAAAAUGUCAUGAAUAUUUCAUCAAACGUGAGAGACAAGAAUGCCAUCACUGCCUUAAGUAUCAUACACUCAAGGACCGAGGACACAGACUUUACACAAUAACCCCUACAGUGCAAUGACAAGAGUUGCUACCGUACUCCUGAAAUAAAUAAAACAAGAGUUUGACUAGAGAGCGGAAAAGGGAGAAUCAGAAGGGCUGUGACAGCAUAAAGAAGCCGGAGGGUCCCGCAGAAACGCCCAGCGCUUCAGGCCGUAGACCGAACCCUGGGAGCAAGGAGACGGCAGGACUACAGAAACUACAACAGAAAUCCCAGGAAAAUGUGAGGGGAUCCCAGAGCAGAAGCUUCCCAGAGGGUACAAGUCUUAGGAAGAAGGCCACAUUUAAUCUGGUGGCAAAGGACAGAGAAGCUAAGUAGGCUGUUGGGUGUGGGGGAGGUCCCAGCAAGUCCCACCCUCCUCACUCCCAAGCUUCCAGAGAAGUGUACGAAGUGGCUGAGAACUGGCCCGCAGCUCCCAAGAGCUGCCUGGGGAAGCAGCGUGAAGGCGGCGGUGGUGACAACCAGGGGAUCACAGUCCCCUCAAGGGAAGUAAUGGCCGUGAGGCCUGAAGCCUGAGAACCAGGCGGAGACCCACAUCUCCACGGAGACUGGACUGACACCCAAUGCCAGGAUGAGGCCUAUCAUAAUCCGUUCGGGCUGCUAGAACAAAAUACCACACACUAGCUGGCUUAUCAACAACAGAAGUUUCUCACAGUUCUGGAGGCUGGGAUGUCCAAGAACAAGACACCUACAGAUUCCGUGUCUGGUGACAACACUCUUCCUGGUGACAGAAGGACACGAUAAGUGAAAUACAGAACUUCUUUUGGCAACAGUGCAUUCUUCAAUGUUCACCUUUAAGUUCACCAGGAAUUUUCUGUUAAUUUGUACUACUUGAAACCAAGAGACAUACGUGGUGAGCCUUAAUCAUUGCUAAUAAUCAGCGUUAGCAGUACACCUUUAUCAAGAAAAAUCACGUAAGUGAAAUCCAGUAGCUUACUGCCAUCAACCAGCAAAGUACGUAAAAAGUGCCCAGACAUCACCUUCUUAACCUCUACAAAUCUACUUCUUCUGAUUAAACUUACUUUUCUACAAGUA